UCAGGCUCUGGCCAAUGAAUGGGCGAUGGGGCUGGAGUGCGGCUCCUUGAUAAUACCUGCCUUGUGAGACUCCCGACUAGGGCGUGAGAGUGAUCGAGCACACAGGGGCACUUGUCCUUUGGAACCAUUUGGGAGGAAACUUGGAGAGCAUGUGCCUGCAGCGCUGGAAGCUCAGUCCGUACAAGAUACACUUCACCGAGGAGCAGCUUGGGCUGGUAAACUAGGUGGUCUAGCAUGGUGCUGUAACUGAUGGCCAGAAGCACAAGUGGUUAGACACGGAGGGUUCCCACUGGGAGGAAUGUGAGCCUGUAGGGUCUCCUUUCCUCGGGGGUGGGGGUGGGGAGGGCAGGCCUGCAUCCUUCCCUCUGCCCCAGGGCCCUGUUUUGGUACUCUGCGUUCUCGGCGCCCUCCCUUCACCAAGCUCUACUCCUAAGUCCCUUUUGCUGAGAACGAAGCUGUUCCUUCUGUUCCCGUCACAACUCUGAGGACUCCUACUUGGUGCCUGCUCUCUUCAGGCCCCAUUUGAGGUGUCUGCCCUGCCUAGGAAGGGGGGGCAGAGGGAGGGCAAGAACCUGGAGUCCAAGGAUGAGGGCAGGAAGUGUGGGGGGUGAGGUGGCUGGAGGGCAGAUGAGCAGCAGAUGGCUAGAAGAACAGCAGCAACGAAAGUCAGCAUGCUUAUCAUUUGCUAUGAAGGUUGCCGCACGGAGAUAAUACUUCUUCCAUACAGAAAUGAUUUCAAGUAAGAAUGUUAAAGUAGCAAUAAAGCAGGCUUACGGCCUGGGUAUAUAUGCCCUUGGGUAUGACUUACCCCUCUAUUGCACAGUUCCUGGACCUCAGAAGUAAAAAAUUAACUUUUGUUUUUAGUGAAGCUAUCCUAACUUCCUGAGUCUGUGUGAUCUAGACUUUUACCUUAUCAACUGUAAUCUUGUUAAGGAUGCAGUGGUCACCACCCUGUGAUCUCAUUUAAAUUUCUUAGCAAGACCUUGAAGUUAAUAAUUUUGUAACUCACAAAAACUGUACCUGUGGCUAUUGUCAAGAUAAAUGAAACGUUACUCUUCUUUGAGAAGCCCACUUUGACAAGUCCUGGUUGGUUCAUUUUUUUUUUGUUUGUUGUUUUAUUUUGUUUUUGUCAACUUGAUACAACUAAAGUCUUCUGAGAACAGAGAACCUCAACAGAGAAAACUCUUCCAUUGGGUUGGCCCAUAGGCAAACCUGUGGGUCAUGUUCUUGACUGAUGGUUGAUAUGGGAGAGCACAGCUCAGUGUGGGUGGUGCCCCCACUGGCCUGGUGGGCCUGGAGUGUGUAAGCAAACUGAGGAGGAGCAAGCCAGUAAGCAGCACUCCUCCCUGGCUUCUGCUUCAGCUCCUGCUUCCAAGGUUCUGCUCUGACUUGCUUUGAUGAUGGACUAUGAGAUGGAAUGCAAGCCAAAUAAACCCUUUCCUCCCCAA